UAUUAAUUGUUGGUUCUACUUCUUUAA
rnacentral:piRNA from 1 species